rnacentral:ncRNA from 1 species
UUCAUCAAGAGUUGGCAGAGGGACUGGCCCUAUGACGCCACGGCAACCAUCCGGAAGGAACGGUGCCAAAUCCAGCGGGAAUUCUCCGGAAGAUGAA